rnacentral:rRNA from 1 species
CUACGGGUUGCAGCAGUGGGGAAUAUUGCACAAUGGGCGCAAGCCUGAUGCAGCCAUGCCGCGUGUAUGAAGAAGGCCUUCGGGUUGUAAAGUACUUUCAGCGGGGAGGAAGGGAGUAAAGUUAAUACCUUUGCUCAUUGACGUUACCCGCAGAAGAAGCACCGGCUAACUCCGUGCCAGCAGCCGCGGUAAUACGGAGGGUGCAAGCGUUAAGUGGAAUUACUGGGCGUAAGGCGCACGCAGGCGGUUUGUUAAGUCAGAUGUGAAAUCCCCGGGCUCAACCUGGGAACUGCAUCUGAUACUGGCAAGCUUGAGUCUCGUAGAGGGGGGUAGAAUUCCAGGUGUAGCGGUGAAAUGCGUAGAGAUCUGGAGGAAUACCGGUGGCGAAGGCGGCCCCCUGGACGAAGACUGACGCUCAGGUGCGAAAGCGUGGGGAGCAAACAGGAUUAGAUACCCGUGUAGUC